UUGUAACAGCCAUUCCCCACCGAAAGCGCCAAAUAGGGAUUCCCCCAAUUCUCAUUUUCUUUUCCGUUUUCUGCCCCUCAUCCUCUCCGAUUUUUCCUUCCAUCGAUUUCUGCUUCUUCUUCUGGUACGUUUCUUUUCUUCUUACGUUUCUUUUCUUUUCUCCAUUUUAUCAACAACGAAAAAUGCUCGCACUCUUUCCUGUUUUUCUUUUCUGUAAAAUUGAUUUAGUUUUGCUUUUGCCAAAAUCUGGAAUAUUUGUUUUUGUUCUCCUAAUUUUGAUUCGUUUCUAGCAUUUUCCAUUCGACUUUUCUUUGUAUUGCAUGUUCGAUUGAACAAAUGAAAUUUUUUUCAAUGUGGUUCUAUUAUUUGCUUAUUCUAUUGCAUGUUUGUCUGAUUCUAUUGUUUUCCGAAUGGCUUGUGAUUUCGACUAGCUGAGUUCUGUUUAUUUGCAUUUCUUGAAAUUUGUUGGAGUUCAUGUAUUGGUUUCUGUUAAUUUAAAAUUUGUUUGCACAAAAGAUGAAGGCUUUAUGCUGAGACAUGUUAACUAUGUUUUCUGUUAAUUUAAAAUUUGUUUUCUGUCAAUUUUAGUUUUAAAAUGAUUUCUUGCAAUAAAUGAGGAUUGAUAACCAUAGUAUCUGAAAGUUGUAUGUGUGCUUGAGUCCAUUUUGAGGAAAAAGGAAGAUGAGCAUUUCUUAGUUGUGGCUUCUUACUUUACCGAGAACAAAUAAGUUGUUUUGAGAUGUUCUGAGUCUCCUCAAGCUUCCCUCAGAGAAAAGGCUAACAAGGUAUUAGUCAUUUUGAAUGGGGAACAACCUGGUGGUUUGGCAAGUACUUUAGAAAAGUUUUUGAAAGCUGAGACCACACUUGUUCAAAUACCUGACCUGAUCGACACUGGUGAUCCAGAUGAUUACAAUGGACUAGAUAGUUCCACAAAAGAUCAAAAUGAUCAAAAUACUACAGUACGGACAGCAACACCUCUUAUUGAUGACUUACUUGGAGAUGGUAUUGGUACUAAUCUCAGCACCAGUGAACUUGAUGCGGUCGUUGAAAGCACCCCAAAUAUCCUAUCCCUAAUAAAUAAUGAAAAAGAAUAGUAAAAGGGAAGUAGGGUCAAAUCCUCAGGGACUGGACUUGCAAAAUAUCUUGUUCCGUGAAAUCCCAGGCAGAAUCUUGCCCAAGAAAACUUGGGUUCCUGAAAAAAAAAUAACAAAAUUAAACGUUUGGAUUUGAAAACAAAAAAUAAAAUAAAAACAAAUUUAAGAAUAUUGAAUCGAAAAUUAGAGAAAUUAAAAAUAGAGUUGAGAGAAAGGAAAUUCUUAUGGGAGAUUCCAGCCUCCAGUUGUCUCGUUCCACCUUGGGUUCAAUCCUCGGCUUUUAGAUGAUCCUUCCCAACUUGAAUAAGCCAGUUAUAGUGGAAGAGGACGCCUACGACCACCAGCUACAAGGAUUUAGACUUACGAUUUGGUAGAACCUGACUCUAGCCAACAAUCGCUUCUGUGGGAUCGUCUUAUGCUAGAUCAACACUUCUUAAUGGCGAAUCCCACGCCAUUUUGUCUCUUGGGCUCACCAACCUCUGACGCAGUAAGCUAACAAACCGACUGUGCAACCUUCCCAAAACAUACAAAGCGGCCGCCUUUGCAUACGUUGAAAAGCUUACUUCUUAAGGGACAUGGAUGGAAGUGUCAGCCCCGUAGUGCGGAGAAACGAUGAAUACUCGUUGAGAUGGCUAAAUGUCUCAUUUCACACUAUUAAGGGAAGAAAAAAUGUGGAUGAUCUCUUCUAUGGGAUGAGUGUAGAUGACAAGUCAGCUAUGAGUGAUAAUUGUAUGAAGUGCACGCCCAUUUUUUGCAUGGAACACUUUUAAUUUAAUGAACAAUGAGACAAGGAACAUGAACGGCCGUUUAUGUUAAUUUGUGGUUUGCCAUUUUUAGAGACCAUGUGGGUUGGCGGGGUGCACUAACUCCUUUUAUCAAUUUCGUCUUAAGCACGUGUUUCACGUUUUAAGUGAAAGGUUGUGUGUGCUCUUUUUUUUUCGAGCUGGAAGUUUUCCUAUUUAUGGAAGUACUUAGAUCGGUAAAGAAAAAUUAUAUACAGAAGUAGAUUUAAAGAAACAAGAUGCUGCUCAAAUCCAUGUUGGUUGAAAUGCUGUUAUAUCAGGAAUUCCUUCCAUGUUUUUGUUCAUUGUUCACUAUGCUUUUCAUUAGCUUGGCUUAUGGGCUCUUUUAAUUCUAUUAAUAUUUGAAAGAGUUGCUAUGUAGUUUAGAUUUAGCCUUGGUAGUUAGAUAUCUCUAUCUAUUAUCUAAUACUAGAGAGUGGUAAAUAUAAAAAGGGAAAGUUCCAUAUUUUUUGGCUUGGAUGCUUAUUAUGGUUCGGAAUUCUUGUGUUGAUGUUUGGCUGCCAUAUUCUUCCAGUGCAAGAAGAUCAUUGGGGUUAAACAUGGUGGAAUAUUAGGUUUCUUGUUGAUUGUUUUGCCACUUUUAGAGACAUUCUGUUAGAUUGCCUAAUUUCCAGUUCA